GCCGAAAUAGCUCAGUUGGGAGAGCGUCCGACUGAGGGUCUGAAUGUCCUUGGUUCGAUCCUGGGUUUCUGCA